GACGAAGGGGGCAAGCGUUGUUCGGAAUUACUGGGCGUAAAGCGUGCGUAGACGGUUGCGUAAGUCAGAUGUGAAAGCCCCGGGCUCAACCUGGGAAUUGCAUUUGAGACUGCGUAGCUAGGGUGCGGAAGAGGGAAGCGGAAUUUCCGGUGUAGCGGUGAAAUGCGUAGAUAUCGGAAGGAACACCAGUGGCGAAGGCGGCCAUUUGGCUCGGUACUGACGCUCAGGUUCGAAAGCGUGGGGAGCAAACAGG
rnacentral:rRNA from 1 species